GAUGAACGCUGGCGGCGUGCCUAAUACAUGCAAGUCGAGCGAACAGACGAGGAGCUUGCUCCUCUGACGUUAGCGGCGGACGGGUGAGUAACACGUGGAUAACCUACCUAUAAGACUGGGAUAACUUCGGGAAACCGGAGCUAAUACCGGAUAAUAUAUUGAACCGCAUGGUUCAAUAGUGAAAGACGGUUUUGCUGUCACUUAUAGAUGGAUCCGCGCCGCAUUAGCUAGUUGGUAAGGUAACGGCUUACCAAGGCGACGAUGCGUAGCCGACCUGUGAGGGUGACCGGCCACACUGGAACUGAGACACGGUCCAGACUCCUACGGGAGGCAGCAGUAGGGAAUCUUCCGCAAUGGGCGAAAGCCUGACGGAGCAACGCCGCGUGAGUGAUGAAGGUCUUCGGAUCGUAAAACUCUGUUAUUAGGGAAGAACAAAUGUGUAAGUAACUAUGCACGUCUUGACGGUACCUAAUCAGAAAGCCACGGCUAACUACGUG
rnacentral:rRNA from 1 species